AUACGGAGGAUGCGAGCGUUAUCCGGAUUUAUUGGGUUUAAAGGGUGCGUAGGUGGUAGAUUAAGUCAGCGGUGAAAGUUUGUCGCUCAACGAUAAAAUUGCCGUUGAUACUGGUUUACUUGAGUAUAGUUGAAGUAGGCGGAAUGCGUGGUGUAGCGGUGAAAUGCAUAGAUAUCACUCAGAACACCGAUUGCGAAGGCAUCUGACGAAUCCGUCACUGACGCUGAGGCACGAAAGCGUGGGGAUAGAACAGGAUUAGAUACCCUGGUAUUCCACGCCGUAAACGAUGAUGACUAACCGUCGGCGAUAGACAGCCGGUGGCCAAGCGAAAGCGAUAAGUCAUCCACCUGGGGAGUACGUCGGCAACGAUGAAACUCAAAGGAAUUGACGGGG
rnacentral:rRNA from 1 species